UGUGCUGAAAAAGAUUCAGACGGUGUUC
rnacentral:sRNA from 1 species